ensembl:lncRNA
GGUCUGUGUCAGUUCUGGAUGUGGUUCUGGUACCACAAGGUGCUGUGAAGGUUCUGGUUGUGGUUCUGGUACCACAAGGUUCUGUGAAGGUUCUGGUUGUGGUUCUGGUACCACAGACCGGUGGGGAGGCUCUAGUUGUGGCCCUGGUACCACAGGGCGGUGGGGUGGUUCUGGUUGUGGUUCUGGUACCACAGGGCGGUGGGGAGGAUCUGGUCCUGGUACCACAGUAGAGUGGGGAGGAUCUGGUCCUGGUACCAUAGGACAGUGGGGAGGAUCUGGUCCUGGUACCAUAAGGUGAUGAGAAGGUUAUGGUUCUGGUACCACAGGGGGUGGGGGUUCUGGCACCACAGGACGGUGGGGAUGUUCUAGCUGUGGUUCUGAUACCACAGGGCGGUGGGGAGGUACUGGUUCUAGUUGUGGUUCUGGUACCACAGGAGAGAGUGGGGAGGUUCUGGUUCUGGUACCACAGGGCGGUGUGGAGAUUCUGGUGUGGUUCUGAUGCCACAGUAUGAUGGGAAGGUUCUGGUUGUGGUUCUGGUACCAUAGGGCAGUGGGGAGGUUCUGGUUGAAGUUCUUGUUCCACAGGAUGGUGGGUAGGUUCUAGUUGUGGUUUAUGGUUCUGGUACCACAGGUCGGUGCCGAGUUCUGAUAUCACAUGGCGAUGGGAAGGUUCUGAUUCUGGUAUCACAGGGUGGU